UCUAAUAUGGCAGAAUAGUGCAAUGGUCUUAAACUCCGUAUAUAAAGAUUACAUCUUUUUUUAGAA
rnacentral:tRNA from 1 species